rnacentral:piRNA from 1 species
UCCCAAACAAAUCCAAGGAAGACUCCCA